AGUGAAAUUUCCCUUUCCUAUUGCAGACUACCUGGGAUGACCAGGGUACGCAAACGCGAGCAGCGAGGAGGCAACGCUACCCUGGCUUUCGGUCAUGAAUCAUUUAACCUCGCAUGGAAAGGACAUGAACCAAAAAAAGGGAAUGCACGGGCUCCUGGAACUAAAAAGUCCGCCCAUAAAGCCUCGUUCAGGCAUAGCUCAAUUCAGCGGCUUCAAGCAUGUCACAGGGCUCAGGCUCUCUGGACACGCCUCACCUGUCUUCCUGAGCAAGCUUCCUUCUCAUGGGAAAGACGGUCCCCACAACUCUCAAGCUCCCAGCCUCUCAGCUCCUAGAAUUGAACGCCAUUGGAUCCGUUUGGGUCACGUGCCCAUGCUUGAGCCAAUCACUGUGGCCGAAGGAAGAACUACACUGAUUGGCUAGAUCUGGGUCACAUGCCGGAUGUCGUCUCUGGAAAACGAGGCCGGUGUUGUUUGAAGGAGAUGGACUGAGGAUGUCAGGAGGGACCAUUCAUCUUUAUUCCACUGUGGCUGGGCUUUCAACUCCAAUGCCUCCUCCAACAGCUGGAAUUAUAACAGCUACAGCCAGAAGUCCCAUUUCCCAGCUACUGUCUGAAGAAGGUGUAUAUUCAAAUGCAACUAUUAUAUAUUCCAAAUGUCAUAUUCCUCAACACCUGUUUGAAAGAGCACAUUUUAUCAAGAAGGAACUGUCACCGAAGCUACGAGAAGGACAGUUUCUACCAAAGUGCCGGAAGUCAGGGGACUGUCAGACAAGAAACUGCUGUGUCCUUCUGAGGCUGUCCUUGACCAGGAUGCGGAUGGCAGCAGAGGGCAAAACCCAAGAGGGGUGGCAGAGAGAGUCUCUUCAAGGAAGAUAUUGUCAGGAAAUUGAAAAAUUGGGCUACCCCAUCCAGACUGUCUAAACAAGAACGCCUGAAAGAAGAAGAACAGGGGGAAACGCAGCCUGGGGAAGAGAUGCAUUUGGGGUCAGAGAAACACAGAUCUGGACAUUUCCAACUUGUCAUGGUAACCAUCAAUCGAGCAGCCUCAUCCAGAAUGCCGAGCGCUCUGGGAUCCGGGGAAGAAGCUGUUAUGCCCAAGCUUUGUGCCUGGGAUGAGAAGCCGCUGGUUCUUGCCUCUUCUUUUCAGAGGACUUCACGUAUGUUGAAGAUCCUGCUGGAUGGUUUCUCUUUGCUCAGGUUCUACCCCACCCAUUCUCUACUCCUCACCACCACGUUCAGUGCUUCUGGAGGCUGACCUGUAUGGACUCGUCAACGGGCUCCUUGGCCCUGUCGCAUCUAAUUGGGCCUUGCUGUUGGGGGGCCAAUUACAGAUCGGAGGUACCUGCAACAGAGAAGCAGGCAACAGGAGAGUGAGCCUUGGGGUUCAUCCCUCUGCCCCCUCCCUGCCAAGUUGCUGCUGUUGACUGUUUCCCUCUUCAGAAGGCCAUAAAUCCUCCAACAGGACAGCUCUCCUCUACGAAAAAAAAAAAAUUAUAUAAAUAUCUUGAGGCUUUGAAUAACAUCACUCUUCAGAGAGCGAUACUUUUGAUUGAUUGUUAGCAGUUAGGAGAGGGAAGACCACCCUUAAUCGAGUCAGAGAUUGAGCUGAUUUCAAGGUGAUUUUUUAGUCUUGGCAAAGGAGGGUUCUUGUCCUGUUUACUCUUAUUCUUAUAGUAUUAGACCAUCAGGGGAUUCUUUUUUUUUUUUUUUUUUUUUUUUUAACUUAAAUUCGAUUAGCAAACAUAGAGUACAGCAUUAGUUUCAGAUGUAGUGUUCAAUAAUGUAUCAGUUGCUUAUAACACCCAGUGCUCAUUGCAUCACGUGCCCUCCUGAAUGUCCAUCAUCCGGUUACCCGUCCCCCAACCCACCUCCCCUCCAGCAACCCUCAGUUUGGUUCAUAUACUUAAAUGUCUCUCAUGGCUUUUCUUCCACUCUGAUGACCUCCCAUUCAGUUUACCCUCCCUUUCCCAUGAUCCUCUUCACCAUUUCUUAUAGUCCGCAUAUGAGUGAAACCACAUAAUUGUCUUUCUCCUAGAUCUCCCUGAUAUGAGGAAUUUGAGAAACAAGACAGAGGAUCACAGGGGAAGGGAGGGGAAAAUGAAACAAGAUGAAACCAGAGAAAGAGACAAACCAUAAGAGACUCUUAAUCUCAGGAAACAAACUGGGGGUUGCUGGGGGUGGGAAGGUAUGGGGUGGCUGAGUGAUGGACAUUGGGGAGGGUAUGUGCUAUGGUGAGUGCUGUGAAUCACAGCCCUGUAUCCCUGUACCCC